CGGAGUAAUGAUAGCACGAAUGGGGGUGUAGCUCAUAUGGUAGAGCGCUCGCUUCGCAUGCGAGAGGCACGGGGUUCGAUUCCCCGCACCUCCAC
rnacentral:tRNA from 1 species